GUGGUUUUUAGGUAGACAUAAACAACGGUCUUAGGGAACAAACAGCCGUUACCGUUAUCAAAGACAUCGACGUCGCGUUGGAACAGCCAGAGCUGAAGUCCCUCAGGCCCGUCUCGUCAUUCCUCUCCUCUCUGUUUCCAUCGAGCUAUCCCUUCACCAGCUCCACUGCACUGAGGCCUUCAGCAGCUUUGUGAGAGACAGCAUAGAGGAGGUGGACCCCGAUGCGGUCACCUUAAACAACGGUCUCUCCUUCAACUCCAGACGACCCAGGACAGCGUCCAUUGGGCUCGGGGACGGGGGUUAGGGCUAUGCUACCCAUAACCCUAACCCUUACCCUCUUAUUCAUUGGAGGCUUCUUUUAUGUGACAGGAUGGUAUGGAUGUGUGAAUGGUUUUACUAUCUCUUAUUUAUCUUUUUUUAUAUUCCUAUUUUUUUAUUUAUUCAUUUAAUCUAUUUUGCACUUAUCUGCCAGCAAUUAUCUUUACCCUGUGUGUUUUUAAUACUUCUUGAAAUGCUUAUACCAUGUUAUUUAUAUAUAUAUGUAUAUGUGCAAUUUUGGGGUUCCUGCAUUUUUCGCCCAUGACUUCUACUGAGAUUGCAGUGUGCUCCUUUUUAUUCCUAUAUUUUGUAUAAAUGCGCAUGAUUUACUAUUAAUGAGAGGAUGUGUAUGGAUGGGUCUGGAUGCGUGGAUAUAUGUGUGUGUGUGUGUGUGUGUAUGUGUGUGUGUGUGUGUGUCUCUAUUGUUUUGCCCUCUACCCCCAGCACCUUGCCAGGGUUGACAGAUAGUAUAAACUCCUCUCCAUCAAACCACGCAGACGAAAAGUUACAGUUCACUCUUUAUGGUGAGGUGAAGUAGGGUAAAACUGAGGAAUGGAAGUACAGCAUUUCAGUAUGAGAAUAACAGAAUGCUGUAAAAUUAGCUUAGCUACUAAAUUGGCUUGCUAACGUAAGAAUAUCCAUCCAUCUAAUUUGUUUACAAAGUUUCCUUAAUCUCAUUAUACAUCAAACCCCCUUAACAUAGCAAUACAGAUAACGUACCAACGAUGCUUUCAAAGGCUAACUUGAAACCAGAGGAGACGCAAUUAUGAAGACGAGUGCUACCCACCACGGGACCACCACCCUCUCAGGCUACCCACCACGGGACCACCACCCUCUCCUCUACCCACCACGGGACCACCACCCUCCUCUACCCACCACGGGACCACCACCCUCUCCUCUACCCACCACGGGACCACCACCCUCUCCUCUACCCACCACGGGACCACCACCCUCUCAGGCUACCCACCACGGGACCACCACCCUCUCAGGCUACCCACCACGGGACCACCACCCUCUCAGGCUACCCACCACGGGACCACCACCCUCUCUCUACCCACCACGGGACCACCACCCUCUCCUCUACCCAC
ensembl:lncRNA